rnacentral:rRNA from 1 species
GACGAACGCUGGCGGCGUGCCUAAUACAUGCAAGUCGAGCGAAGUUUUUCUGGUGCUUGCACUAGAAAAACUUAGCGGCGAACGGGUGAGUAACACGUAAAGAACCUGCCUCAUAGACUGGGACAACUAUUGGAAACGAUAGCUAAUACCGGAUAACAGCAUUAACUGCAUGGUUGAUGUUUAAAAGUUGGUUUUGCUAACACUAUGAGAUGGCUUUGCGGUGCAUUAGCUAGUUGGUGGGGUAAAGGCCUACCAAGGCGACGAUGCAUAGCCGACCUGAGAGGGUGAUCGGCCACACUGGGACUGAGACACGGCCCAGACUCCUACGGGAGGCAGCAGUAGGGAAUCUUCCGCAAUGGGCGAAAGCCUGACGGAGCAACGCCGCGUGAGUGAAGAAGGAUUUCGGUUCGUAAAGCUCUGUUGUUAGGGAAGAAUGAUUGUGUAGUAACUAUACACAGUAGAGACGGUACCUAACCAGAAAGCCACGGCUAACUACGUGCCAGCAGCCGCGGUAAUACGUAGGUGGCAAGCGUUGUCCGGAAUUAUUGGGCGUAAAGCGCGCGCAGGUGGUUUAAUAAGUAUGAUGUGAAAGCCCACGGCUCAACCGUGGAGGGUCAUUGGAAACUGUUAAACUUGAGUGCAGGAGAGAAAAGUGGAAUUCCUAGUGUAGCGGUGAAAUGCGUAGAGAUUAGGAGGAACACCAGUGGCGAAGGCGGCUUUUUGGCCUGUAACUGACACUGAGGCGCGAAAGCGUGGGUAGCAAACAGG